GCCAGAGCAGCGGCCAAGGCUGAGGAGAGAGCUGGGACUCGAGACCCUGCUCCACCCUGCUGGCUCUCGCUCGGCCCCAUUACCUGGCAAGCCCCGGCAUCCUUGACCCACGUCCGUGGCGCUGCCUGGGUAGGAACGCGCCUGAAGACCGCGCAGGACACUACCACUGGGCAUCCUGGGUUUGAUGCAGACAUCCUGCACUACAUUCCAGAUCUGAUGAGGCAUGGCUGCCCCAGGAUUACUGGGCUCGGACGGGAGCAGUGGUAGGAAGGAUCCUAUAUAAGUCAUGUGAGACAUAGAAUGUUCAGAUCAACUGAAGCUGAAACAAGCCUUUGGCAUCAUAUAUAACCCAGAAAGGGACAAAGCUGAUCCCAGAGGACUCAAGGCUAUGGGUGAUGUCGAAGGUGCGGAAGAAUCAAGUUGGAAAGACCAGCAGGAGACAGACAGAGUAAGCAGGUUCCUUGAAUGCUUGGUUUAUGUGCCUGGCUGGAGGAGACACCCAUGGCCUUGCAGAGGGAGCGUUCUGGUGGGAAAGCAGACACAACCCACCCUAGGCCCGUGGUUUCCCUGCAAGAAGCCCAGUGGCUUUCUGGAGGACACUUUUCCUGGAGGAAGUGACUCAAGAGCAGCAUAAGCCAGGCUCUAUGGAAUGUUGGGUGAGCUGCUUGAGGAACUCCAAGGCCUGUCCCACAGUCUUCCAGCCUCCGACUCUCCGGCCCUCAGCGAGGAAGUCCCACUGGUUUUUUUGGUUGGUUUUUUUUUUUUUUUUUAAGGUUUUUUGGUUUUUUUUUUUUUUUCUCAUUCCUGUCUUGGGAGCUUUCCCCAACCAGGAGAGUGAAGAUGGGCGGAGCUGUCACACCAACUGUUAGCCUGCCUUGGCUGAGAGGAGAGGAGGCGAGGAGGGAGCGACCACCCAGCUUUAGUCGUUUUAAAACAGCUCCUGACCCUAGAAGAAGGGAAAUGGAGAUGAAGACCCAAUUGACUUGAGAGAGUGAUCUUUCAGCAGACUGAUCGAACACACAGGCUUCUCAGCCCACUCCCUCCAGUCAAGGUUAAGGCCUGGCAAAGGUGGAGGAAGAGAAGCUGAGGAGAAAAAGGCGAGGAGAGCCUAGGCACAGGAAGGCUUCCCUCCCUCCCAGUGCUGAUUUCCUGUGGACCAGAUUCCAGCACAGUGGAGGGCCAGAGCUCAGGGAACAGACCCAGCAGCACAGCAAGUCUCCAAGGAAAGCUCUAGCAGUCUCCAGGGGCUGAAGGCAGGACUGGGGAAGCGGCUAGCCAGGCUGCAGAAGGCAAAUGCUCCCAGACGGCUGUCCAGCACGCAUCCGCCUUCCUAGCCAAGUUUCCUGGGCUCCUGCCACAGAUCUAAGCCUCAUCCUGACAUCCUGCCCUCUGUGCUCUGGGAUGGCCCAGGGGAGAUGCUUAGCCUUGGCUCCUUGUCUGCUGGUGGAGGGGACACACACCCUUUCUGGACCACAGACCAAAAAGAAGACCUGACGUCAUCCUGAGCACCCCCGCCAUGCAGAGUGUGUUCGCAGACUGCCAACGGGCUGGCUCCGGCCAGCAGAAGUGAACAGAGGUGGAGGUUCAGCCUGACAGCUUCUCCCCAAAGCCAUGGAGAGAAAACCUUACCACCCCCACCGCCCAGCUACUUCCAGCAAGUUGUCCAGCCUGACCCCUCUAUUUCCCCUGUUGUCUCUUAUCUGGGUCCCUGAGACCCACCCCAUCUCCAAUAAAGAACAUUGCAUACUGUG
rnacentral:lncRNA from 1 species